UUCUUUGAAUGAAAAAAACAC
rnacentral:piRNA from 1 species